rnacentral:rRNA from 1 species
UACGUAGGUCCCGAGCGUUGUCCGGAUUUAUUGGGCGUAAAGCGAGCGCAGGCGGUUAGAUAAGUCUGAAGUUAAAGGCUGUGGCUUAACCAUAGUAUGCUUUGGAAACUGUUUAACUUGAGUGCAGAAGGGGAGAGUGGAAUUCCAUGUGUAGCGGUGAAAUGCGUAGAUAUAUGGAGGAACACCGGUGGCGAAAGCGGCUCUCUGGUCUGUAACUGACGCUGAGUCAAAGCGUGGGGAGCAAACAGGAUUAGAUACCCCCGUAGUCC